rnacentral:rRNA from 1 species
GCUCCAAUAGCGUAUAUUUAAGUUGUUGCAGUUAAAAAGCUCGUAGUUGGAUUUCGGGUGGGACGCAGCGGUCUCGCAUUGCGUUUGUACUGCUGCAGCCUCCUUCUUGCCGGGGACGGCCAUCGGACUUAAUUGUCUGGGGGUCAGAAUCGGCGAUGUUACUUUGAGUAAAUUAGAGUGUUCAAAGCAAGCUUACGCUC